rnacentral:rRNA from 1 species
GUUACAGCCGCCGCGGUAAUACGGAGGGUGCAAGCGUUAUCCGGAUUCACUGGGUUUAAAGGGUGCGUAGGUGGAUUGGUAAGUCCGUGGUGAAAUCCCCGAGCUUAACUCGGGAACUGCCGUGGAUACUAUCAAUCUUGAAUACUGUGGAGGUAAGCGGAAUAUGUCAUGUAGCGGUGAAAUGCUUAGAUAUGACAUAGAACACCGAUAGCGAAGGCAGCUUGCUACACAGUCAUUGACACUGAGGCACGAAAGCGUGGGGAGCAAACAGGAUUAGAAACCCUGGUAGUCC